AUGGAAACUUUCAUGAGAAACAAAGGAUAUAAGAAGGAGAGGCUCCUACCUAUGGAGCAGGAAGCCAGAGAGGAGGAGACUUUUCAGCCACAGGCUCAGGCUAUGCUAUCUGAAGCUGCUUCUUGCAGCAUUUGGUACUUCUCGUUUUGCGUUGCUGCUGGCCUUCUAAUGCCUGAGAUCACCACAGGAAAUAUUUGUACGUACUGCAGAGGUGGUGGCGGCUGAUGGCAGAGUGAGAAGCAGUGUUCAAAAUGUGUCCACGUUAGUCGAGAUAAUAAAGCCUGGUCCUGCAGCCA
rnacentral:lncRNA from 1 species